GACCGGGAACCUAAGAGUGCCAGAUACUGUGCUGAGUGUAAUAGGCUGCAUCCCGCUGAGGAAGGAGACUUUUGGGCAGAGUCAAGCAUGUUGGGCCUCAAGAUCACCUACUUUGCACUGAUGGAUGGAAAGGUGUAUGACAUCACAGAGUGGGCUGGAUGCCAGCGUGUAGGUAUCUCCCCAGAUACCCACAGAGUCCCCUAUCACAUCUCAUUUGGUUCUCGGAUUCCAGGCACCAGAGGGCGGCAGAGAGCCACCCCAGAUGCCCCUCCUGCUGAUCUUCAGGAUUUCUUGAGUCGGAUCUUUCAAGUACCCCCAGGGCAGAUGCCCAAUGGGAACUUCUUUGCAGCUCCUCAGCCUGCCCCUGGAGCUGCUGCAGCCUCUAAGCCCAACAGCACAGUACCCAAGGGAGAAGCCAAACCUAAGCGGCGGAAGAAAAGCACUUCUUAACCUUUUGGAGGUCACAGAUAUCUUUGAAACUCUGAUGAAAGCUUGCCGAACUAAAGCAAGAAUGUCUUGCUCGUGGUUUGG
rnacentral:sRNA from 1 species